rnacentral:rRNA from 1 species
AGAGUUUGAUCCUGGCUCAGGACGAACGCUGGCGGCGUGCUUAAUACAUGCAAGUCGAGCGACGAAACCGGAGUGGGUAACCACUCCGGCUGAAAGCGGCGAACGGGUGAGUAACACGUGGGUAACGUGCCCCGGACAUCGGGACAACCACGGGAAACCGUGGCUAAUACCGAAUAACCCCAGUAGUGCGCAUGCACAGCUGGGCAAAUGCUCCGGCGGUCUGGGAUCGGCCCGCGGUGUAUCAGCUUGUUGGUAGGGUAAUGGCCUACCAAGGCUACGAUCAGUAGCUGGUCUGAGAGGAUGAUCAGCCACAUUGGGACUGAGACACGGCCCAAACUCCUACGGGAGGCAGCAGUGGGGAAUAUUGGACAAUGGGCGCAAGCCUGAUCCAGCCAUGCCGCGUGAGUGAUGAAGGCCUUAGGGUUGUAAAGCUCUUUUAGCGGGGAAGAUAAUGACGGUACCCGCAGAAAAAGCCCCGGCUAACUUCGUGCCAGCAGCCGCGGUAAUACGAAGGGGGCUAGCGUUGCUCGGAAUCACUGGGCGUAAAGCGCACGUAGGCGGCUUCUUAAGUCAGGGGUGAAAUCCUGGAGCUCAACUCCAGAACUGCCUUUGAUACUGAGGAGCUCGAGUCCGGGAGAGGUGAGUGGAACUGCGAGUGUAGAGGUGAAAUUCGUAGAUAUUCGCAAGAACACCAGUGGCGAAGGCGGCUCACUGGCCCGGUACUGACGCUGAGGUGCGAAAGCGUGGGGAGCAAACAGGAUUAGAUACCCCCGUAGUCC